CAAUAGCGUAUAUUUAAGUUGUUGCAGUUAAAAAGCUCGUAGUUGGAUUUCGGGUGUGAAUGACCGGUCCGUCUUUGAUGUGUACUGGUUGGUUGCGCCUUAUUGUCGAGGACGUGGUUCUGGCUUUCAUUAGCUGGGACACGGAGUCGGCAGCGUUACUUUGAGAAAAUUAGAGUGUUCAAAGCAGGCUAUCGCUCUGAAUACUACAGCAUGGAAUAACACGAUAGGACUCCGAGCCUAUUCUGUUGGUCUUCGGGACCGGAGUAAUGAUUAAGAGGGACAGUUGGGGGCAUUCGUAUUCCGAUGUCAGAGGUGAAAUUCUUGGAUUAUCGGAAGACGAACAUCUGCGAAAGCAUUUGCCAAGGAUGUUUUCAUUAA
rnacentral:rRNA from 1 species